rnacentral:rRNA from 1 species
UACGGAGGGUGCAAGCGUUAUCCGGAUUCACUGGGUUUAAAGGGCGCGUAGGCGGGCUCCCAAGUCGGUGGUGAAAUCUUUCGGCCCAACCGGAAAAGUGCCGCCGAUACUGGGAGUCUCGAGGGAGGUAGGGGUCGAUGGAACUUCCGGUGGAGCGGUGAAAUGCGUAGAUAUCGGAAGGAACGCCGGUGGCGAAAGCGAUCGACUGGACCUCUUCUGACGCUGAGGCGCGAAAGCCAGGGGAGCAAACGGG